rnacentral:misc_RNA from 1 species
AAAAUGCGAUAAGUAGUGUGAAUUGCAGAAUUCAGUGAAUCAUCGAAUCUUUGAACGCACAUUGCGCCCUUUGGUAUUCCAAAGGGCAUGCCUGUUCGAGCGUCAUUUGUACCCUCAAGCUUUGCUUGGUGUUGGGCGUCUUGUCUCUAGCUUUGCUGGAGACUCGCCUUAAAGUAAUUGGCAGCCGGCCUACUGGUUUCGGAGCGCAGCACAAGUCGCACUCUCUAUCAGCAAAGGUCUAGCAUCCAUUAAGCCUUUUUUUCAACUUUUGACCUCGGAUCAGGUAGGGAUACCCGCUGAACUUAAGC